GUGGUAUAGGCCCUAGACUCUCGGAUUUAGAGUGUUUAUCCCAGAAGUCACCUACGGCUCUCAGAUGGUUUUGUCAGUCAGCCUGCUUCUCUUGGAAACUGUGGCCAUUCAAGACUUGUGUCCUGUCGUGGUGACAGCAGGCGCCCUCUGGAUUUCCUCAUUCGGACGCCCCCGGCCGUGCUCCUUCAUGAUGCCUCCCCGGCUGUACAGGCAUUUGUGUGACUCAGACUUUGAGACCACCUGAAGGAGAUGAUCCUGCGGGGCAAGGUGUCCAGGU